UUAACUGAUUUAGUUAAUCGCUCAGACUGCAAUCUUCAGACAGAGUUCAAUGGUGUCUUCGGCGGGCGCGGGCCCGCCGAAGCAACAAGGUAAAUAAACACGGGUGGGAGGUUGGACCCAGAGGGCCCUCACUCGGUAAUGAUCCUUCCGCAGGUUCACCUACGGAAA
rnacentral:misc_RNA from 1 species